CCUAAGCCUAAUGCGCUGUUUGCCCUCUUCCUCUCAUCCCCGAUUCCGCCGUUAGUCGCAGCAUUGCCCGAUGCCGCGCCGGAUCUGUUCAAUCCACCAUCGGCCAAGCCACCGCCGGCCACUCCACCGUGGAGGACGGACUUGAUAAGAGGCCCAUUGACACGUUGGUUGGCCGUAAGCCCCAGCUCAUCGUGCCCUACGAAGCGUCUUCUCUCCGAUCCGCCGCUCGCCCUCAAGCGCCGCUGUUUUUCCCGACGCCGUCAACUCUGUGAGUCAUUGGCCUUUCCUCCGAUCACGAGCAAGGGGACACUGAUCGCCACCGAGGAUGCCUCGUCGUCCAGUGCCGCCGUCGCUGGAGGAAGGGUUGAGCGCAAAAGGGGCUGUGCUAGGGUUAACUUCUCCUCUCUUCCGAUUCUUUUGUUUCCAUAUUCCAUCGCCGCCCUCUGCCCUAAUCUGAACUCUUCCCCAUUCAUUCCCGAUCCAUUGUGUUGUCGCUCUUCUUCAUUGUCACGUACACCACUCGGAUCUAUACUUGGCGGGGUCAGUGAUGCCUGUGCCAACGACAGCCUCAGCCAGAGCAGAUGCUCCUUGUGUUUGUAGCCUGGCUCUCCACUAUCAGUUCUUCUUGGGAGCCAAACACUUCUUCCGGCAGGCCAUCUCAUUGUCAUCACUGGCCGUGAUUGGGGGAGGAGGGUAUCUAUCAAGAGGAAAUCUCUAUUCCUUCACAACAAUGACCAGGAUCGUCAUCGAACGAUUAUGGGUUUGCAUGGAGAACUUUCUCUUCAUCACAGCAACCUCUGCAGAUUUGGAUUGGGAUGGUUGGUUUGGACAUUUACAACUUCCACCUUACUUCGGCUAUAGUUUGCGGCAGAAAGCACUUCUCCAUCCGUGACUCGACAGAGAAGUUUUCGGAAUUUGGGGUAUCGAUUUGGAAAUCAGCAACUCUAUUUGGGUACGUUUGGUUUCGACAGCAAAUUCUUCGGCUGAAUUGACGACGAAGUCUUUGGAUUUGGGAUUUUGAUUUGGGACGAGCGCCUCGAUGUAGGAAUUGUAUUGUUACGAUUUUCGCAAUGAAGGCGGGUACUUCUUGCUUUAUCUCUUUAGUACAUUGUUCUUAGUGCAUGAGUUAUACCUUCGGAUAGUUCCUGUAUUUAUCUUGACUCCACUCGUAUUUUUCCUGCUUUUGAUACUUCCACUCAAUGUUUGAGCUACUCGUUUCUGUAUCUAUACAGUCUCUCAUUGCUAUCUAUAAUAUUUAGCAAAUACGAGACACCAGAUACUAGAUACUAGAUAUUAGAUAUUGGAUAUAUAGAUAUCAGAUACCAUGCUUACUUGCUUUGACUGCUAUUUAUGCAUGUUUCUUAUUAAGCAUGCUGGUUUCAUGUAGCAUAUCUGU